rnacentral:rRNA from 1 species
GAUGAACGCUGGCGGCGUGCUUAACACAUGCAAGUCGAACGGUGAAGCAGAGCUUGCUCUGUGGAUCAGUGGCGAACGGGUGAGUAACACGUGAGCAACCUGCCCCUGACUCUGGGAUAAGCGCUGGAAACGGCGUCUAGUACUGGAUAUGAGCUGCGACCGCAUGGUCAGCAGUUGGAAAGAUUUUUCGGUCUGGGAUGGGCUCACGGCCUAUCAGCUUGUUGGUGAGGUAAUGGCUCACCAAGGCGUCGACGGGUAGCCGGCCUGAGAGGGUGACCGGCCACACUGGGACUGAGACACGGCCCAGACUCCUACGGGAGGCAGCAGUGGGGAAUAUUGCACAAUGGGCGAAAGCCUGAUGCAGCAACGCCGCGUGAGGGAUGACGGCCCUCGGGUUGUAAACCUCUUUUAGCAGGGAAGAAGCGAAAGUGACGGUACCUGCAGAAAAAGCGCCGGCUAACUACGUG